GAUGAAGAACGUAGCGAAAUGCGAUACGUAAUGUGAAUUGCAGAAUUCAGUGAAUCAUCGAGUCUUUGAACGCACAUUGCACCCCCUGGUAUUCCGGGGGGCAUGCCUGUCCGAGCGUCAUUGCUGCCCUCAAGCACGGCUUGUGUGUUGGGCCUCCGUCCUCCUCCCGGGGGACGGGCCCGAAAGGCAGCGGCGGCACCGCGUCCGGUCCUCGAGCGUAUGGGGCUUCGUCACCCGCUCUUGUAGGCCCGGCCGGCGCUUGCCGACACAUCAAUCUUUUUUCCAGGUUGACCUCGGAUCAGGUAGGGAUACCCGCUGAACUUAAGCAUAUCAAUAAGCGGAGGA
rnacentral:misc_RNA from 1 species